rnacentral:lncRNA from 1 species
UCUGAAGCUACUAAGGAAGCCUUUUGAUUUAAGAAAUUCAUUGCGGAGCUAGAUGUGAUGCCAUCAGAUGCCAUUACACUGUACUGCGACAACAACGACACCAUAUCCUUGCUAAGGAGCCCAAGUCUCACCAGAAGUCUAAGCAUAUAGAGCAGCAAUUUCACAUCAUAUGCGAAUACCUCGAGAAGAAGUUGUCGAGAUGCAGAGAGUCAACUCUACGCUGAACAUGGCAGACCCGCUGACCAAGCCUCUUAGCCAGCAGA